rnacentral:snRNA from 1 species
UUGCUUUGGCAGCACGUAUACUAACAUUGGAACAAUAUAGAGAAGAUUAGCGUGGCCCCUGCCCAAGAAUGACGUGCAAAAAAGUUUCAUACUUUU